rnacentral:rRNA from 1 species
GACGAACGCUGGCGGCGUGCCUAACACAUGCAAGUCGAGCGAAUGAAGUUCCUUCGGGAAUGGAUUUAGCGGCGGACGGGUGAGUAACACGUGGGCAACCUACCUCAUAGAGGGGAAUAGCCUUCCGAAAGGGAGAUUAAUACCGCAUAAGAUUGUAGUACCGCAUGGUACAGCAAUUAAAGGAGCAAUCCACUAUGAGAUGGGCCCGCGGCGCAUUAGCUAGUUGGUGAGGUAACGGCUCACCAAGGCGACGAUGCGUAGCCGACCUGAGAGGGUGAUCGGCCACAUUGGGACUGAGACACGGCCCAGACUCCUACGGGAGGCAGCAGUGGGGAAUAUUGCACAAUGGGGGAAACCCUGAUGCAGCAACGCCGCGUGAGUGAUGACGGCCUUCGGGUUGUAAAGCUCUGUCUUCAGGGACGAUAAUGACGGUACCUGAGGAGGAAGCCACGGCUAACUACGUGCCAGCAGCCGCCGUAA